GAUGAACGCUAGCUACAGGCUUAACACAUGCAAGUCGAGGGGCAGCAUGUCGGUUGCUUGCAACCGACGAUGGCGACCGGCGCACGGGUGAGUAACGCGUAUCCAACCUACCCUUGUCCAUCGGAUAACCCGUCGAAAGGCGGCCUAACACGAUAUGCGGUUCACAGCAGGCAUCUAAGGUGAACGAAAUGCAAAGGAGAAGGAUGGGGAUGCGUCUGAUUAGCUUGUUGGCGGGGUAACGGCCCACCAAGGCUACGAUCAGUAGGGGUUCUGAGAGGAAGGUCCCCCACAUUGGAACUGAGACACGGUCCAA
rnacentral:rRNA from 1 species